rnacentral:tRNA from 1 species
AGGGGUGUAGCUCAGUUGGUAGAGCACCGGUCUCCAAAACCGGUUGCCGGGGGUUCGAGUCCCUCCACCCCUGCCA